rnacentral:rRNA from 1 species
UACGAAGGGGGCUAGCGUUGCUCGGAAUGACUGGGCGUAAAGGGCGCGUAGGCGGCUUGCACAGUCAGGCGUGAAAUUCCUGGGCUCAACCUGGGACUGCGCUUGAGACGUGUGGGCUUGAGUGGGGAAGAGGGUCGUGGAAUUCCCAGUGUAGAGGUGAAAUUCGUAGAUAUUGGGAAGAACACCGGUGGCGAAGGCGGCGACCUGGUCCUUGACUGACGCUGGAGGCGACGAAAGCGUGGGGAGCAAACAGG